GAUGAACGCUGGCGGCGUGCCUAAUACAUGCAAGUCGAGCGAACGGACGAGAAGCUUGCUUCUCUGAUGUUAGCGGCGGACGGGUGAGUAACACGUGGAUAACCUACCUAUAAGACUGGGAUAACUUCGGGAAACCGGAGCUAAUACCGGAUAAUAUUUUGAACCGCAUGGUUCAAAAGUGAAAGACGGUCUUGCUGUCACUUAUAGAUGGAUCCGCGCUGCAUUAGCUAGUUGGUAAGGUAACGGCUUACCAAGGCAACGAUGCAUAGCCGACCUGAGAGGGUGAUCGGCCACACUGGAACUGAGACACGGUCCAGACUCCUACGGGAGGCAGCAGUAGGGAAUCUUCCGCAAUGGGCGAAAGCCUGACGGAGCAACGCCGCGUGAGUGAUGAAGGUCUUCGGGUCGUAAAACUCUGUUAUUAGGGAAGAACAUAUGUGUAAGUAACUGUGCACAUCUUGACGGUACCUAAUCAGAAAGCCACGGCUAACUACGUGCCAGCAGCCGCGGUAAUACGUAGGUGGCAAGCGUUAUCCGGAAUUAUUGGGCGUAAAGCGCGCGUAGGCGGUUUUUUAAGUCUGAUGUGAAAGCCCACGGCUCAACCGUGGAGGGUCAUUGGAAACUGGAAAACUUGAGUGCAGAAGAGGAAAGUGGAAUUCCAUGUGUAGCGGUGAAAUGCGCAGAGAUAUGGAGGAACACCAGUGGCGAAGGCGACUUUCUGGUCUGUAACUGACGCUGAUGUGCGAAAGCGUGGGGAUCAAACAGGAUUAGAUACCCUGGUAGUCCACGCCGUAAACGAUGAGUGCUAAGUGUUAGGGGGUUUCCGCCCCUUAGUGCUGCAGCUAACGCAUUAAGCACUCCGCCUGGGGAGUACGACCGCGAGGUUGAAACUCAAAGGAAUUGACGGGGACCCGCACAAGCGGUGGAGCAUGUGGUUUAAUUCGAAGCAACGCGAAGAACCUUACCAAAUCUUGACAUCCUUUGACAACUCUAGAGAUAGAGCUUUCCCCUUCGGGGGACAAAGUGACAGGUGGUGCAUGGUUGUCGUCAGCUCGUGUCGUGAGAUGUUGGGUUAAGUCCCGCAACGAGCGCAACCCUUAAGCUUAGUUGCCAUCAUUAAGUUGGGCACUCUAAGUUGACUGCCGGUGACAAACCGGAGGAAGGUGGGGAUGACGUCAAAUCAUCAUGCCCCUUAUGAUUUGGGCUACACACGUGCUACAAUGGACAAUACAAAGGGCAGCGAAACCGCGAGGUCAAGCAAAUCCCAUAAAGUUGUUCUCAGUUCGGAUUGUAGUCUGCAACUCGACUACAUGAAGCUGGAAUCGCUAGUAAUCGUAGAUCAGCAUGCUACGGUGAAUACGUUCCCGGGUCU
rnacentral:rRNA from 1 species